UACAGAGACUGCAAGCGUUAUUCGGAUUCACUGGGCGUAAAGGGUGCGCAUGCGGUCUGGUUUUUCAGAUGUGAAAUCCCGAGGCUCAACCUCGGAACUGCGUCUGAAACUACUCGACUAGAGUACUGGAGAGGGUAACGGAAUUCACGGUGUAGCAGUGAAAUGCGUAGAUAUCGGAAGGAACAUCAGUGGCGAAAGCGGCUUCCUGGACCAGUACCGACGUUCAGGCACGAAAGCGUGGGGAGCAGACAGG
rnacentral:rRNA from 1 species